UAGAGUUUGAUCCUGGCUCAGAUUGAACGCUGGCGGCAGGCUUAACACAUGCAAGUCGAGCGGGGGAAGGUAGCUUGCUACCGGACCUAGCGGCGGACGGGUGAGUAAUGCUUAGGAAUCUGCCUAUUAGUGGGGGACAACAUCUCGAAAGGGAUGCUAAUACCGCAUACGUCCUACGGGAGAAAGCAGGGGAUCUUCGGACCUUGCGCUAAUAGAUGAGCCUAAGUCGGAUUAGCUAGUUGGUGGGGUAAAGGCCUACCAAGGCGACGAUCUGUAGCGGGUCUGAGAGGAUGAUCCGCCACACUGGGACUGAGACACGGCCCAGACUCCUACGGGAGGCAGCAGUGGGGAAUAUUGGACAAUGGGGGGAACCCUGAUCCAGCCAUGCCGCGUGUGUGAAGAAGGCCUUAUGGUUGUAAAGCACUUUAAGCGAGGAGGAGGCUACUUUAGUUAAUACCUAGAGAUAGUGGACGUUACUCGCAGAAUAAGCACCGGCUAACUCUGUGCCAGCAGCCGCGGUAAUACAGAGGGUGCGAGCGUUAAUCGGAUUUACUGGGCGUAAAGCGUGCGUAGGCGGCUUAUUAAGUCGGAUGUGAAAUCCCCGAGCUUAACUUGGGAAUUGCAUUCGAUACUGGUGAGCUAGAGUAUGGGAGAGGAUGGUAGAAUUCCAGGUGUAGCGGUGAAAUGCGUAGAGAUCUGGAGGAAUACCGAUGGCGAAGGCAGCCAUCUGGCCUAAUACUGACGCUGAGGUACGAAAGCAUGGGGAGCAAACAGGAUUAGAUACCCUGGUAGUCCAUGCCGUAAACGAUGUCUACUAGCCGUUGGGGCCUUUGAGGCUUUAGUGGCGCAGCUAACGCGAUAAGUAGACCGCCUGGGGAGUACGGUCGCAAGACUAAAACUCAAAUGAAUUGACGGGGGCCCGCACAAGCGGUGGAGCAUGUGGUUUAAUUCGAUGCAACGCGAAGAACCUUACCUGGCCUUGACAUACUAGAAACUUUCCAGAGAUGGAUUGGUGCCUUCGGGAAUCUAGAUACAGGUGCUGCAUGGCUGUCGUCAGCUCGUGUCGUGAGAUGUUGGGUUAAGUCCCGCAACGAGCGCAACCCUUUUCCUUACUUGCCAGCAUUUCGGAUGGGAACUUUAAGGAUACUGCCAGUGACAAACUGGAGGAAGGCGGGGACGACGUCAAGUCAUCAUGGCCCUUACGGCCAGGGCUACACACGUGCUACAAUGGUCGGUACAAAGGGUUGCUACACAGCGAUGUGAUGCUAAUCUCAAAAAGCCGAUCGUAGUCCGGAUUGGAGUCUGCAACUCGACUCCAUG
rnacentral:rRNA from 1 species